ensembl:lncRNA
AUAUUUUCCUCUCUUUCCUUCUUCUCUCUCUCUCUCUGUUUACAUAGUUGUAGUUAUACUGUAUACAUUACUUUGUACUCUACUUUAUUUCACUUAACAUGACAACAUAAGCAUUUACCCACAUCAUUAAAACUCCCUGGUACCGAGAGCCCAGGUCUAUUUUUAUAGAGAAGCUUAAGUGAUUCUCAGUGGGCUCUGCUACCCAGCCUUAAUCACACAAAGACAAGUUAUCAGGUUCUCUCCAAAGUCCUGGCCUGCCGCUUGCCUACUGAGCAGGAAGCAGAACUAAGGCUGUCAUGGAGAGGAAGGACAGGCCAAAUACUGUUUGGCUGCCUGCUCCCUCCCACGAGCCAGCCUGCAGCCUGCUAAGUAAGGGGCCCUGCUGAUCCAGAAUUCUUUCUUGCAGAAACACAUACUGGCUUUGAACCAAGGAGGCAGGCUCACUGCUGCAGCAGCCCCAGGGGAAAAAUCCAGACACAGAAUAAAAAAGUAAACUAUGCCAGUGACUGUAUGGCAGUAUAGCAGGAUUGCUCAUCUUAAUUUCCAGAAAAGCGUCAUCCUAACUCACAGGCAAGACAAAGGCUGCCCAGCAGCCUUUACCCCUACUUUCCACACGGUGAGUGCACUGGAGGUUUCAAAAAGCCUGCGGACUAAGACCAGGAGAACAGCAGACACAGCCCACUGGGAAGCCCAUGAUGUUGACCCCAGAGUGGACUUGUGGACUCGUCAACUCGGGCCAGGCUCCUGUAGAGACACAGUUUCACCAUGUUGGUCUCCGACUCCCGACUUCAGUGAUCUGCCUACCUCGGCCUCUUAGACUGCUGGGAUUACAGGCAUGAGCCACCACACCCGGCCUAAAGGUAUAUAUUUUUUAAAGGCAUAUACAGAAGUCCAUCUGAUUGAGCCUUGGUUAGCGCUGGCUUGCCUCUCCUGCUGGACCUUCAGAUCCUGGGUGGGGAGGGACAGAUCUGAAAAAUCAUGUCCCCAUAGCACUUUGCACACAAUUUCAUCAUGGUAAACAUCCCCAAAAAAGAAGUGUUGAAAUGAGCUGACUGUUAAUUUGCUUCUUUAUCCUCUCUGGACUCUGAAUCCCAAGAUCCAUGAUCAGGGCUUGGGACUCUCCAUCCUGCAGCAUUCCCUGCUUUACAUGAGAGGCAAUGGGAAGGACUGGGCCUGGACAGAGAGAUCCAAGAUCCAGUCACUUCACUGGCCCAAGAUGUGCAUCUGAAAAGACCUUUUGCAGGAAAAUGUGGCUCCAGCCUCCUGCUGCCUCCAGCCAGUCCUCCCUUCCCAGUCGGGGAUCCUGGCCUGUUCCUGCUAUACAGUUUGGUUUCGGCUGUGGCCUCCACCCUGGUGCAACUCAUGCAUCUGAGGCUUAACUGGAGGAAUCCAGGCCCCUUCCCAGCAAGAUGUGUUUGUGAGUGGCAGAUAGAGCAAGGCUGACAGAAGUGUUCCUUCUCAGGUGAAGGGGCCUCAUGGCCACAGCAAUAACGAGGGGUGGGGAGGGGAAAGGGGUUCAUGUCCACUUCCUGAGCUAAGCUGUCUCAAGCUUAGCACCUGUGCCUCCUCUAAGGCGGCGUCUUGCUUCCAAUUCAUUCUUGAUCCCACAGAAUGAGGGACAGGGCACUAAGUGUUCAGCUCUGCUGGCCUCAGCCACUCACUCUUGAAUUCCCAGUGGUAUAAGUCUCUCAGAGACACUGGAACCAAGAGGUCCAACAUGUGACACUUCCAAGCAGUCAGUGUGUUAGUUUCUCACAACAGUCCAAGAAGAAGCAAGAACAAUUCUCUUGGCUGGGGAGGAUUGGAGGUGAUCCAGGAGCAGUCUUCAGAUCCUGCCUUCAAUCUUGGCCUCAGGAGACAGAGCCUCCUAUCAAAGGACAGAGCCACCAAAACCAACUCCCUUUAUGCUAUUCCAGUGGCAUCUGUGAGCCAGAAAUUUCUAGAAGUUUUUGAAGGACCUUUGUGGCUGUGUACAGGGCUGAGUUGUUGCAGCCUUACUUGCAGAGGUGGUGAACCCUGUGAAGAACCAGGAGAGCAGUGGACCUUGCAGGGGUUGGAGGAUUCACACCCGCAUGGAAUUGGGAUGACGUAGAGGCAUAAAAGAGUACAUGUCCCUGAGUGUCUUUGAAAGUUAGGCAACUAAAACAAAUGUAAUCCCUUGGAUGGAAACCCAGCACAGCUUCAUUGCUGUGGAAGUACAUGGUGGGGGGUGGCUGUCAGUCACAGCAGACUCUGCAAAAUGGGACUCCAUCCCAGUUGGCUUCUGAAAGUCAAGCUAGACAAUAAUUACAUAAGAGUAAG